UGAGGGCGGGCACGGGACAGGAACCUGGUAUCACUCUGCAGAGACAGCCGAACCCGAGGGGACUUGGCCUGCCCGUGAUGUGACAGAGAUGGCUGGAGGCAGGCAGCGUGUGCAGGACGCGUGAGAGCCCUACUGGCAGGGCUGGAGAAGCGGGAUGGUGGCUCUUAGUCUGGGCUCCCCAAGCACCGACCCUGACACAGGCCAGGAAGCAGUUUCUCUGGGAGUACCUCCCAGGGAGCAUGGGGCGGGGGGAGUGGGGCUGAGCAGGGAAGGGAGGACAGUGAGUGGAGGCCACUACUGUGGGCACCAGGUUCCCCUGCCCUGGCGACCCCGAGGGACUGUGCAGCUCAGGGGCCCCUGGGAGGAGGAGCCUGGUCUAUGAGAGGUUAUCCUCCUCCCAAGGGGCGAGGAACAGCCGGAGGGCUGAUGAGAAAGGAGGAGGCUGGGGAAGGGGUGAGGCUCAGGAUUCUAGGAGAGGUGGCCUAAGGAGGAAGCUGCAGGCCCGAGGUCUGCCUCCUGAGCCUCCUGAGCCCAGCCUCAGGGUCCCCGUACACUGUGUGCAUUUCCCCCAGGGGACCCCACGCCAACGAGGCCCAGGGCAGUGUUUGUUUAAUAAAUAAUUAAAAGAAAUAGCAAAUCAAGAGAACCCAGGUCUAGGCUGCGUGCUCUUCAAACAAGACACACAGAGAGAGCCACCCUAUCCUCCAGACAAGUGGUUCUCAACCCCUUUCUGGAGUGGUUGUCUCCCCAGGGGUGGGGGUGGGGCUGCAGCCAAGGGCCUGAGGCCAGGGACGCCGCCAAACAUCCCACAACACACAGUGCGGCCCCCGCCAGAAAGAACAGCCAGCCCAAAUGUCAAUGGUGUGGUUGGGAAACGCCACUCUACUGGAAAGAUGAAUGUUCCAGAAUGUUCCAGAAACACAGACUGGCCUCCUAUCACCCGGAGACUGCUUGGCCUCGUGACCCCAGGGCUGCUGAGAAAACACGUUGUACCUAGAAAAAGUUGGCCUCGAGGGCCUGGGAGAUGGAGUCCAGACCCACUUCCUGUCCUGAGUGGGUCCCUUGCAUCCUCUGCUCCUGAUGGUCACAGCUUUCAAAUAAAAAGACUGAAAAAAAAAUAGGAUCUACUUAGUUGGGGUUUUGAGGGUUUUUUGUUUGUCUGUUUGUUUGUUUUAAAGAUUUUAUCUAUUUAUUCAUGAGAGACACACAGAGAGAGGCAGAGACACAGGCAGAAGGAGAAGCAGGCUCCAUGCAGGGAGCCCGAUGCGGGACUUGAUCCCAGGACCCCGGGUCACACCCUGAGCCGAAGGCAGAUGCUCGACUGCUGAGCCACCUGGGCAUCUCCGGGGAGAUCUUGAGUUUUGGUGACUUGAUCUGGAGAAGCCCCCACCUGCACCCCGUGACCCAGCUUAAGGGGGUGGUGUGGGGCCAGUCGGUCACCUAGCAAAGGACAGCCAAAAGGAGUCAUGGGCUUAAAAAAAAAAAAAAAAAAAGGAGUCGUGGGCUUGAACACAGGAAGAACAUGAGGCCCGGAGAGGGAGGACAGGCCCACGCUCACCCCACAAGCCAGGGUGCUGCCAGACUGCAGCCACGUAUAUGAAGAUGGAUUAUUCCUGGAUGUUCUGCGAUCAUUCAUUGGUUCGCUCGCUCAUUCUAUGGAGGUGAGGGUGGGAGCGACAGCCCUGGUGGGCCUGUGACCCCACCUGUGACUCAGCCACUCAUGCCAGGAGCCAC
rnacentral:lncRNA from 12 species